rnacentral:rRNA from 1 species
UACGAAGGGGGCUAGCGUUGUUCGGAAUUACUGGGCGUAAAGCGCACGUAGGCGGAUAUUUAAGUCAGGGGUGAAAUCCCAGAGCUCAACUCUGGAACUGCCUUUGAUACUGGGUAUCUUGAGUAUGGAAGAGGUGAGUGGAAUUCCGAGUGUAGAGGUGAAAUUCGUAGAUAUUCGCAAGAACACCAGUGGCGAAGGCGGCUCACUGGCUCGGUACUGACGCUGAGGUGCGAAAGCGUGGGGAGCAAGCAGG